AGUGAACGCUGGCGGUAGGCCUAACACAUGCAAGUCGAACGGCAGCACAGUAAGAGCUUGCUCUUACGGGUGGCGAGUGGCGGACGGGUGAGGAAUACAUCGGAAUCUACUUUUUCGUGGGGGAUAACGUAGGGAAACUUACGCUAAUACCGCAUACGACCUACGGGUGAAAGCAGGGGAUCUUCGGACCUUGCGCGAUUGAAUGAGCCGAUGUCGGAUUAGCUAGUUGGCGGGGUAAAGGCCCACCAAGGCGACGAUCCGUAGCUGGUCUGAGAGGAUGAUCCGCCACACGGGAACUGAGACACGGCCCAGACUCCUACGGGAGGCAGCAGUGGGGAAUAUUGGACAAUGGGCGAAAGCCUGAUCCAGCCAUACCGCGUGGGUGAAGAAGGACUUCGGGUUGUAAAGCCCUUUUGUUGGGAAAGAAAAGCAGCAGGUUAAUACGCCGCUGUUCUGACGGUACCCAAAGAAUAAGCACCGGCUAACUUCGUG
rnacentral:rRNA from 1 species